GGGCCCGUCGCCUAGCAUGGUCAAUCAGACUUGCUCUGCAGGGUGUUCAUAGGGCACCAGCCUCCUAAGUUGGUUGCCACCAGUUCAAACCCCGUAUCACGUGAGAUCCACGUCGGGUGAGUCUCUGGUCGGGCCCGCCA
rnacentral:tRNA from 1 species